GAUGAACGCUGACAGAAUGCUUAACACAUGCAAGUCAACUUGAACUUCGGUUUGGGUGGCGGACGGGUGAGUAACGCGUAAAGAACUUGCCUCACAGAUAGGGACAACAUUUGGAAACGAAUGCUAAUACCUGAUAUUAUGAUUUUAGGGCAUCCUAGGAUUAUGAAAGCUAUAUGCGCUGUGAGAGAGCUUUGCGUCCCAUUAGCUAGUUGGAGAGGUAACGGCUCACCAAGGCGAUGAUAGGUAGCCGGCCUGAGAGGGUGGACGGCCACAAGGGGACUGAGAUACGGCCCUUACUCCUACGGGAGGCAGCAGUGGGGAAUAUUGGACAAUGGGGGCAACCCUGAUCCAGCAAUUCUGUGUGCACGAAGACGGUUUUCGGAUUGUAAAGUGCUUUCAGCAGGGAAGAAGGAAGUGACGGUACCUGCAGAAGAAGCGACGGCUAAAUACGUGCCAGCAGCCGCGGUAAUACGUAUGUCGCGAGCGUUAUCCGGAAUUAUUGGGCAUAAAGGGCAUCUAGGCGGCCUUUCAAAUCAGGGGUGAAAACCUGCGGCUCAACCGCAGGCCUGCCUUUGAAACUGAUAGGCUGGAGUACCGGAGAGGUGGACGGAACUGCACGAGUAGAGGUGAAAUUCGUAGAUAUGUGCAGGAAUGCCGAUGAUGAAGAUAGUUCACUGGACGGUAACUGACGCUGAAGUGCGAAAGCCGGGGGAGCGAACAGG
rnacentral:rRNA from 1 species